GAGGGUCUUUACCUCAGUGUGAAACAGAGGAAACACUACCUCUAUCGUUUGAUAGGCUGCCACAACCUGUCCGUUCCUCCUCUGAACUGCUCCGGGUGUCUGAGACAUUGGACAGUGGGGCUGGACGAACCUGUAAAGAGUGGCUACUGGCCAGCCACCGUGACUCACCAGACCAUCUUCACAGUGGACCUCUUCAAGUCCUUUGAAGACAUGAAGGUGUUGGCCCCAGGAUUCUCCCGUCAAGCCUUUGUGGGAAUGCUUGAUGGAAGAACUAAGCACUUUGGCAGGAGUGGAAAGAUAUGUGGUGACACAUUCCAGAAGGCAUUCUUUGAGUGGACUUUACGGCACGGCUUGAAAUAGACAAGUUUUGUGUAAGCGAUCUCCUCCAAUGUCAUGCCUGGAUAGGAUGGGAAUCACAAGCAAUAA
ensembl:lncRNA